AGGAUAAACGCUGGCGGCGUGCCUAACACAUGCAAGUCGAACGUCCUACGCAAGUAGGGAGUGGCGGACGGGUGAGUAACACGUGGUCAAUCUACCUUUCGGUGAGGAAUACCGGCGAGAAAUCGCCGACAAUACCGCAUACGCUUCGCAAGAAGCAAAGUCGCAAGACGCCGGAGGAGGAGCCUGCGCCCGAUUAGCUGGUUGGUGGAGUAAUGGUCUACCAAGGCGACGAUCGGUAGCUGGUCUGAGAGGAUGAUCAGCCACAUUGGGACUGAGACACGGCCCAAACUCCUACGGGAGGCAGCAGUGGGGAAUAUUGGACAAUGGGCGCAAGCCUGAUCCAGCCAUGCCGCGUGAGUGAUGACGGCCUUAGGGUUGUAAAGCUCUUUCGCUAGGGACGAUAAUGACGGUACCUAGACAAGAAGCCCCGGCUAACUUCGUGCCAGCAGCCGC
rnacentral:rRNA from 1 species